GCACCCUUAGUUCAGCGGGAGAAUACUUGCUCGACAAGCAAGGGGUCGGCGGUUCGAAUCCGUCAGGGUGCACUA
rnacentral:tRNA from 2 species